rnacentral:rRNA from 1 species
UACGGAGGGUGCGAGCGUUGUUCGGAAUUACUGGGCGUAAAGGGCGCGUAGGCGGCCUGCUAAGUCGAACGUGAAAUCCCCGGGCUCAACCUGGGAAUUGCGAUGGAGACUGCAAGGCUAGAAUCUGGCAGAGGGGGGGUAGAAUUCCACGUGUGAGCAGUGAAAUGCGUAGAGAUGUGGAGGAACACCGAUGGCGCAAGGCAGCCCCCUGGGUCGAAGAUUGACGCUCAUGCA